rnacentral:rRNA from 1 species
GAUGAACGCUGGCGGCGUGCCUAAUACAUGCAAGUCGAGCGAACAGACGAGGAGCUUGCUCCUCUGACGUUAGCGGCGGACGGGUGAGUAACACGUGGAUAACCUACCUAUAAGACUGGGAUAACUUCGGGAAACCGGAGCUAAUACCGGAUAAUAUAUUGAACCGCAUGGUUCAAUAGUGAAAGACGGUUUUGCUGUCACUUAUAGAUGGAUCCGCGCCGCAUUAGCUAGUUGGUAAGGUAACGGCUUACCAAGGCAACGAUGCGUAGCCGACCUGAGAGGGUGAUGGGCAAGAACGGAACUGAGACACGGUCCAGACUCAUACGGCAGGCAGCAGUAGGGAAACUUCCGCAAUGGGCGAAAGCCUGACGGAGCAACGCCGCGUGAGUGAUGAGGGUCUUCGGAUCGUAAAACUCUGUUAUUAGGGAAGAACAAAUGUGUAAGUAACUAUGCACGUCUUGACGGUACCUAAUCAGAAAGCCACGGCUAACUACGUG